GGAUUCCCCUAGUAACGGCGAGUGAAGUGGGAAAAGCUCAACUUUAAAAUCUGGCAGCUUCGCUGUCCGAGUUGUAGUCUCGAGAAGUGUUUUCCGCGCUGGAUCGUGUAUGAGUCUGUUGGAAUACAGCGUCAUAGAGGGUGAGAACCCCGUUCAUGACACGACUACCAGUGCUUUGUGAUACACUUUCGAUGAGUCGAGUUGUUUGGGAAUGCAGCUCAAAAUGGGUGGUAAAUUCCAUCUAAAGCUAAAUAUUGGCGAGAGACCGAUAGCAAACAAGUACCGUGAGGGAAAGAUGAAAAGCACUUUGGAAAGAGAGUUAACAGUACGUGAAAUUGUCGAAAGGGAAACGCUUGAAGUCAGACGUGCGCGGUGCGAUUCAGCCUUGGUUCGCCAGGGUGUACUUCGUACCAUUGCAGGCCAGCAUCGGUUUUGUGAGCCGGAUAAAGGUUAGAGGAAGGUAGCGGUCCAGGCCGUGUUAUAGCCUCUAACUGAAUACGGAUUGUGAGACCGAGGGACGCAGCGCGCCGCAAGGCAAAGGGUCCGCCCUUUUCGCGCUUAGGAUGCUGGUGAAAUGGCUUUAAACGACCCGUCUUG
rnacentral:rRNA from 2 species